GGCUGGUCCCAGUGCAGUGGUGUUUACACCUAUUGAUCAAAACCAGUUCCUUUUCCACUCCCACUGCUUCACUUGACUAGUCUUAA
ensembl:misc_RNA Y_RNA Y RNA